AAUUUAAAAGAAUUGAAUUCUUUUAUUUAUUAUAUUUUAAAUAUGAGAACUGAUAAAAAAAAAUUAUUGUAAAUUUUUAGGUUCUGAAUAGGCUGAUAAUGAUGGGAAGAAGCAAGCUAGCUAGCUAAAUAUCUAUUGAAGGUUUUAGUUUAGGCCAACAUUGUUAUUUCAAUAAUUGAUUUACAUAAAUUCUAUUUUUAUUUUUCACCAUAUUUCUUUAACUUCACAACAAACAUAUAUAUAAUUAUUAAACAACAAUUUAAAAAAAAAUUCCUAAAGUUUAUUGCAUCCAUUUUUCUUUUUCAUGUUUAGCAUGUCAUAUGUAAAUGUUUGGAGAGGUUUAUUAAUCCGGAUUAGAUUUUAGUUUGUCCAUGCUAAACUUUUCAUGUAACUUAAAAGAUAUUUAGUUUGU
rnacentral:misc_RNA from 1 species